UACGAGGGGGGCAAGCGUUGUUCGGAAUUAUUGGGCGUAAAGGGUGCGUAGGCGGUUUUGUAAGUCUUGUGUGAAAUCUUCAGGCUCAACUUGAAGACUGCACGAGAAACUGCAGGGCUUGAGUGUGGGAGAGGUGAGUGGAACUGCGAGUGUAGAGGUGAAAUUCGUAGAUAUUCGCAAGAACACCAGUGGCGAAGGCGGCUCACUGGCCCGAUACUGACGCUGAGGCACGAAAGCGUGGGGAGCAAACAGG
rnacentral:rRNA from 1 species